GGAGAGUGGACUGGAAUUUAUACUGGAGGUUCAAGAGAAAUGUAUGAAGGCUUUGUCGGUGUGGGGUUAUAUUCCAAUCAAGAGUUCAAGAGAUAAAAUAACAUUUAUUCCAGCGCAUAAUAUAUCUAAUCGAAGAGGAAUAUUAGAUACAUUCAAAUAAAUAUGUUUGUUUCUAUUCCGGUUCAUAAAUGAUUUAAAAUAUCUUAUAAAAGAGAGAUAUCUGAAUUCCAAGAAAUAGGUUAGUAUGUAUAUUCCGGCUCAUUUAUGAUUUAAAAUAUCUUAUAAAAGAGAGAUAUCUGAAUUCCAAGAAAUAGGUUAGUAUGUAUAUUCCGGUUCAUAAAUGAUUUAAAAUAACUUAUAAAAGAGAGAUAUCUAAUUUCAAGAAAUAGGUUAGUAUGUAUAUUCCGGCACAGAAUCUAUCUAAUAUAGUUAUUUUUUUACAACUUAUAUUAAAAUUAUUUUCAUUUCUCGAUUAAAAAUGUCUGUUCUUAAAUAUUCCCUUGGCAAACUUUCUUUUUUCAAAAAUCUUUCUUUUUCGCAAAAUUUGAAAGUUGCGCAUUUUUAGAGGAAAAGAUGUUGAAUAUGUAUAAAUGCAUAAAGUUUAAAAGUUUCAAACCGCAAAGAUUCACAAUCUCUAACGUAUACGAAUCAGUUUACAUUCGAACUUAAAGGGUUUGUUAACAAAAUUUCAAAUGACCCUCUAGUAAAAGAGUUGCAUGUUUGAUUCCCAAAGGUACCAAAUAAAACUAUGUUUGAGUUAAAAUGAUGAAAAUAUCGUCGUUUUUUCCAGUUUAAAAAGUGUUCAAUUUUCUCCAUUGUAUCCGGAGAAUAAAUAUAAAAGUCAUGUUUAAUGAGAAAUCCAAAUAAAAAGAGAGAGAAAAAUCAAUAAUCAAAGGUUUAAGCGUACUGUUGUAAAUCGGCCCCGCCAAUAUAUAGAGGAGGUAUGUAAACUAAAGCGUUUUUUUAUGUACAUAAACCUUGUUUUGUUUACAAGUUAACUUUCCGAGGAAAACGUCCGUUACUAUCUACUGUAGACAAAUUGUGUACAAUUUCUAUUCCUCCCAACCUUGAGUUGGCUGGGUUUAAUCAACCCAAUCAUUAAUGUAAAUAAAUAAAUAUAUUUAAUUAUUCAUGUUAACUAUACUACUGUACAUCCGCUUAAUUUGCCAAGUAAACCCUACUAGUCACCAUGCGCGGGCGCAUUCAGGGUUACCCACAAAACAUGAGACUGUUAUAACGAUCUGGAAUUCUUUAUUAAAACAAAUUUCUACCUUCUACAAAUGACUUGACAACAAAGUUUACCUAAGAAAAGGAAAAAGAAUAUCUGAAGUCUCAUCUUUUUUGGGUAACCCUGUAUUUUACAAGGAGGGCUGAGAGGCAUAACAUAAACAGACUUCCCGAAAUAACUGUAAAAACUUUGUAAUUUAGAUCUAAAUCCUUUUAUGACGGGAUACAUGUUAAUUGUUAAUAAAUUGCUAUUUAUCAUU